GGGUUCGAUUAUGGCUCAGAUUGAACUGGCGGGAUGCUUUACACAUGCAAGUCGAACGGCAGCACGGACUUCGGUCUGGUGGCGAGUGGCAACGGGUGAGUAAUGUAUCGGAACGUGCCUAGUAGCGGGGGAUAACACGCGGCGUAGCUAAUACCGCAUACGCCCUUAAAGGGAAAGCCAGGGGACCUUCGGGCCUCACUAUUGGAAACAGCCGAUAUCAGGAUUAGCUAGUUGGUGGGGUAACGGCUCACCAGAGCGGCGAUCUGUAACUGGUUUGAGGACGACCGGCACACACUGGACCAGACGGCCCAGACUCCUGCGGGAGGCAGCAGUAGGGCCUGGACAAUGGGGAAACCUGAUCCAGCCAUCCGCGUGUGCGAUAGAAGGCCUUCGGGUUGUAAAAACACUUUUGUGGCAGGAAAGAAACGGCACGGAUAAUACCCGUGCGGCUGACGGCACCUGCAGUGGCACCGGCUAACUACGUGCAGCAGCCGCGGUAACCGGCGGUGCAAGCGUUAAUCAGACCACUGGGCGUAAAGCGUGCGCAGGCGGUUCGGAAAGAAAGAUGAAAAUCGAGCUUAACUUUGGGAACUGCAUUUUUAACUACCGAGCUAGAAGGUAUGUCCAGAGGAGGUGGAAUUCCGCGUGUAGCAGUGAAAUGCGUAGAUAUGCCGGAGGAGCACCGUGGCGAAAAACAGCCUCCUGGGAUCAUACUGGCGCUCAUGCACCGAAAGCGUGGGAACAACCGGAUUAGAUACCCUGGUAGUCCGCCUAAACGAUGUCAACUAGCUGUUGGGGCCUUCGGGCCUUGGUAGCUGCAGCCUAACGCGUGGUUGUCUCUGGGAGAUACUGGUCGCAAGAUUAAAACUCGAAAGAUUGACGGGGACCCUACAAAGGCGGUGGAUGAUGUGGAUUGAGGAAUUCGAUGCCUUUACCGAAAGGCAACACCUACCUUGACGUAUCGGAAUCGAAGAGAUUUAGGUACUCCGCCAAGAGAACCGGAACACAAGGUGCCCUUGGCUGUCGUCAGCUGUUGUCGUGAGAUGUUGGGUUAAGUCCCUACGAGCGCAGCCCUUCACUGUCAAGUGGACAUGCUACAGAAAGAGGGCACUCUAAUGAGACUGCCGGUGACAAACCGGAGGAAGGUGAGGAUGACGAUAAGUCCUCAUGGCCCUUAUGGGUAGGGCUUCACACCGUCGCUUGCAAUGGUCGGGACAGAGGGUCGCAACCCGCGAGGGAGCCAAUCCCAGAAACCCGAUCGUAGUCCGGAUCGCAGUCUGCAACUCGACUGCGCGGCAGUCAGAAUCGUAGUAAUCGCGGAUCAGCAUGUCGCGGUGAAUACGUUCCCGGGUCUUGUACACACCGCCCGUCACACCGUGGGAGUGGGUUUUACCAGAGUAGUUAGCCCUAACCAUAAGGAAGGAGGCGAUUACCACGGUAGGAUUCAUGACUGGGGUGAAGUCGUAACAAAGGUAG
rnacentral:rRNA from 1 species